rnacentral:rRNA from 1 species
UACGUAGGGCGCAAGCGUUAUCCGGAAUUAUUGGGCGUAAAGAGCUCGUAGGCGGUUUGUCGCGUCUGCUGUGAAAACUCGGGGCUCAACCCCGAGCCUGCAGUCGAUACGGGCAAACUAGAGUGUGGUAGGGGAGACUGGAAUUCCUGGUGUAGCGGUGAAAUGCGCAGAUAUCAGGAGGAACACCGGCGGCGAAGGCGGGUCUCUGGGCCAUAACUGACGCUGAGGAGCGAAAGCGUGGGGAGCGAACAGG